rnacentral:lncRNA from 1 species
AGCCUCCAUAUUUAUUUCCUUCCUACUAAAAUUUUCUUCCACAUUCCCUCUCAUCCAGUCCUCAAUGAAGCCUGAGGACAGCUAUCAGUGGUCACUCUCUUGGGCUUGAAAUGGAACAGAUCUUCUUGUUCCAUCUCUUUCCGAUAGCGCCAGUUCCUGCUGAGGACAGAACAUUGUCUUCUUUUCUCCCUGCCUCAGGCAGAUGGCAGGGAGUGUUGUGUGUUCCCACAAAGGAGCGCGCUGUCCCCGCUCCCGAGUCUCUCAGUGAGCCCUGUCAUGGAAGGCAUCCAGGAGAAUGUGGAACUCUGCACCCACUUUCGCAGAACAGAGGAGCAUCCAUGACCCUCAGAAUCACAGCAUUGAGAGGUAGAAUCUCAUUGUCCUAAUGUUAAAUAUAUAUCAUCAGUGCUCAAUGUUACAGCUUCAAACAUAGAAGAUACAAGAAGUAAAUGCUGAGAUUUUGCUAUUUGUUAACCUAUCAUGAUGUUUGUUCAAGAGUACCCAAGAGAUAGGAUCUGUAAGAGGCACACAGGAUAUGAGGCAAAAGUUAACACCUGGAAAUUUUGCUAUCCUGAAAUGAGGCAGUGCAUUGUGGAGAAAAAAAGAAUGGACUCUUCUAUUAAAUGAAUGUAAGUGAGCAAGCUUUUUAUAAACUAUAAAAGUGACAAAUAUGUAUAAUUAUAUUUAAAUGUUAUUAUUACAAAUUGUUAAGGCAGUAUUGCACCCUAUGGGCUUUGGAAACCGUGACCAUU